UACAGAGGCCCCAAGCGUUACUGAGAAUCACUGGGCUUAAAGGGUGCGUAGGUGGCGCGUUAAGUCCGUUGUGAAAGCCCUGGGCUCAACCCAGGAACUGCUUCGGAUACUGGCGCGCUUGAGGCUAGUAGGGGUCACUGGAACUGACGGUGGAGCGGUGAAAUGCGUAGAUAUCGUCAGGAACGCCAAUGGUGAAGACGGGUUGCUGGGCUGACACUGACGCUGAGGCGCGAAAGCCAGGGGAGCAAACGGG
rnacentral:rRNA from 1 species